GAUGAACGCUAGCGACAGGCCUAACACAUGCAAGUCGAGGGGCAGCAUGAAAUUAGCUUGCUAAUUUUGAUGGCGACCGGCGCACGGGUGAGUAACACGUAUGCCACCUGCCUGUAAGCGGGGGAUAACCCGGAGAAAUUCGGACUAAUACCGCAUAAUAUCAUUGAUUCGCAUGUUUCAAUGAUUAAAAAUUUAUUGCUUACAGAUGGGCAUGCGUAUGAUUAGCUAGUUGGCGGGGUAACGGCCCACCAAGGCGACGAUCAUUAGGGGUUCGGAGAGGAAGGUCCCCCACAUUGGAACUGAGACACGGUCCAAACUCCUACGGGAGGCAGCAGUGAGGAAUAUUGGUCAAUGGACGCAAGUCUGAGCCAGCCAUGUCGCGUGAAGGAUGACUGUCCUAUGGAUUGUAAACUUCUUUUAUAUGGGGAUAAAGUGUGAGACUUGUCUCAUUUUGCAUGUACAUAUGAAUAAGCAUCGGCUAACUCCGUGCCAGCCGCCGCCGUAAGAC
rnacentral:rRNA from 1 species